GAAGCUGCUUCUAAGAGCGCCAUGUCUCAACUCACGAUUGACUUCAAGAAUGUUAACUUACUUACAAGGCGAUAUUAAUUGCAAGGCAAUAGAACAUUGCAGCUAAGGCACAGUAUGAGCUGUUAUAAGCAUCGAUACAGGAGCUGCAGAGAUAGCAUUGGUUUGAAGAAGUAUUCAAGAUCCCCACAGAUUCAAACUUUUGACAUAUCGCUGUGCUGGGAAUGAGAGGGCAUUAUAACCUGAAACCUUACAAUCAGCAACAAUUCUCCUCUCAUCCCCCAGCGAUUCCACAUCAGAAUAAUCGGGGCCCUGGUGUCAACUCCGAGAUGCAGGUUCAGAAGAAAAUUGCCCGCCAUUUGAAUAGAGGUUCAAUAGAGGGCCACGCAUCGCCUCUGCACUUCCCGUCUUAUCAGAUCUAGUCAAGCAAACGGUUCGGACCUGCAAAUCCGGGCCCCCUAGUAGUGCCGAGACGUUUGGACAUUUUAUAGAGCUCAGAGCGUAUUCCAGAAUGGAAGCAGAGUCAUUAAUACCUUCACAUUGAAGGGCAUGGACGGUUCAUUAGAGGGUUAUUUCUAAUCCUUAGUUGUGUGAUGUCAUAGUUCGUGACCUGUGUUCUGCAAUCUUUGCAGAGUUACUUAAUGAUAUACCUGUAUAUUCGGUGAAUAUAUGUAGUAGUUGCAUUAACGGUGAAAUGGUGUAGAAGUCUCCAUAAAAGAUCCCUGUUGAAGUGUGGGAGGGAUAGAAAGUAGUUUAUUCUAUUGAACAGUUUGUGUCUUUUGCAGAAACCUAUAUCCAUUUACUGAAUUCUUUAUUCGGUAAUGAGAUCACAGAAAAAGUAUAAGAAUUCGAAAAUCAAUUUCAUGAAGAUAAAUAGAAAGUCUAUGGACCCCCUGACCUUUUGCUUCCUCUUGGCGUCCUGAGAGUUAAUUGUAAAGAUUACUGUCCUACGCUAAUUCGCUAUGAUCGUUUCGCUGUGGUAUUGAGGGGGUUAAUAGAAUAUUCUAAAUAAGUACGUACAAGUGUCUUCAUAUUGAAAGAGAUGGAUAGUUUUUUAGGGCUAUUUUUCAUCCUUACUCCUGAAACGUCUCAAUACCGAUGUUUGUAAAAUGAUGGAACUGUACAUUGGAGAUAAAAGCAAAAACUGCGG